rnacentral:tmRNA from 1 species
GGGGGUGACUUGGCUNNUGCCAACUACAACUACGCACUGGCCGCUUAACAUAGCUUAGGCGACCCGUUCCUUUUGUUUUUUGCCCAUCGGGAGCAUGAGGAACGUCGACAAUGAUGGGAUAGCCCGAUUCCGUUCGCAGGGGAGUCGGAUGAAGCCGCCGAAAGCGGUCAACCUGCGAUAGUGGGCAGCCAAUCCCGUCUGCCGGAGUUUCUGCCCGCGAAUCCAAAAUGGCAGAAUAUAUACGUAAACGUUUUGAGAGUCUUCUCUUCGGACCGGGGUUCGACUCCCCGCACCUCCACAA